rnacentral:ncRNA from 2 species
AGUCCCGAGGAAGGCGUCGAGCCGCCGUCUCGAUCUGGUCACUUGGACGGCGGGGAGCCAAUAGUGAAACCGAUCCGAAGGGGU